AUUGAACGCUGGCGGCAGGCCUAACACAUGCAAGUCGAGCGGAUGAGUGGAGCUUGCUCCAUGAUUCAGCGGCGGACGGGUGAGUAAUGCCUAGGAGUCUGCCUGGUAGUGGGGGACAACGUUUCGAAAGGAACGCUAAUACCGCAUACGUCCUACGGGGGAAAGUGGGGGAUCUUCGGACCUCACGCUAUCAGAUGAGCCUAGGUCGGAUUAGCUAGUUGGUGAGGUAAAGGCUCACCAAGGCGACGAUCCGUAACUGGUCUGAGAGGAUGAUCAGUCACACUGGAACUGAGACACGGUCCAGACUCCUACGGGAGGCAGCAGUGGGGAAUAUUGGACACUGGGCGAAAGCCUGAUCCAGCCAUGCCGCGUGUGUGAAGAAGGUCUUCGGAUUGUAAAGCACUUUAAGUUGGGGGGAAGGGCAGUAAGUUAAUACCUUGCUGUUUUGACGUUACCAACAGAAUAAGCACCGGCUAACUUCGUGCCAGCAGCCGCGGUAAAAC
rnacentral:rRNA from 1 species